CUGGUUUUCAAGAGUGGAAAAAGAACACAGAGCUUUCGGAUAUUCACUGACCUUUGUUAGAGUAAAGUUAUUAUUGAAGUUGCUCUGAUCAAGAGAGAAAAAUGAAUACGUUUCUGAAUGCACUUAAAGCUGGAGAGGAAACGACAACGGACCCCAAGGACACACCUGAAGUGUAUGUCUGGGCCACAGAACCGGCUCUGGUCCAACCCACAGAGGUUCCUCAGGACCAGGUCACGUUAAGUUUCUUUUGCUCCUAACGUUAACAAAAAUCCAGUUUUCCAUUAUAUGAACAUUUUAAAUACCUGGAUUGAAAUGUUUGCCACUUACGGAUGAGGAAAUGACGUUUGUACUCCAGCACUAACCUAAGGACAGCAAUCCAGACCUGAUGUUCAUUAAUUGUAAAAAUUGCUAAUUGUGUGUGUGUGCGUGUGUGUGUGUGUAAUAUUGUACAGUCACAUUUUGGGAAAAUAAUUUUUUGCCUCCAAACCAUAGAAGUGUCUGAAUGUGUGUAGAAGUAAAUAAGCCUUAAUUGUUGUAAUGUUAGCGUUCCAUGACAAAACUUGAGGAGAAACACCAGAAGGCUGAGGAUUCCAUUGCUCAGCUGGAGGUGGAGAAGGCGAACCUGACCAGCCAGGUGGAGAAACUGCGAAGAACAGUGGCGAACAUGGGGACCAUGCUCUCUGAGACUCACAGGGAGUGUGAUAAGUUAACAGACGAGUAUGAGCAUGAACAGGAGGCUCACAGCAUCCUCCAGAAGGAGAACGAUGAGAUGAAGGAGACUCUGAUGCACAAGGAGGAGUUGCUAAAGGUCUCAUUGCCUGAAGCUGAGGAGAAACACCAGAAGGCUGAGGAUUCCAUUGCUCAGCUGGAGGUGGAGAAGGCAAACCUGACCAACCAGGAGUAUGAGCGUGAACGGGAGGCUCACAGCAUCCUCCAGAAGGAGGACGAUGAGAUGACGGAGACUCUGAUGCACAAGGAGGAGUUACUAAAGAGCUCCAUGGUGAAAGCUGAGAAGAAACACCAGAAAGCUGUGGAGACUAUUGCUCAGCUGGAGGUGGAGAAGUCUGACCUAAAAGACCAGGUAGAGACACUGCGAAGAACAGUGCAGAAAAUAGGGAACAUGCUCACUGAGACUCACAGGGAGUGUGAAGCGCUAACAAAUAAGUAUGAGCAAAAGCAGGAGGCUAACAGCAUCCUCGAGGCGGUGAACGAUGAGAUGAUGAAGACUCUGAAGGAGCUUGAGAUGAAGAACAAUGAGAUGAAGCAGACUCUGAUGGAAAAAGAGGAAUUACUGAUGACUCCCUGGCAGAGACUGAGGAGCAACACCACGAGGCUGUGGAGUUGGUUUCCGAGGCGGAGGCAGAGAACUACGACCUGACUAAUCCAAUGAAGACCCUGGUACAGUGGGGGAAAUAAGUAUUGGAUGCGUCAACAUUUUCUUCAAGAAAUAUAUUUUCAAUGAGGCUAUUCACAUGAAAUUUUCACCAGACAUCAGUAUUAACUCAAGAAAUCUGGAAAUAUAAAGAAUUCUCAACAUUAAAGUCCAAACAUAAAGUGGAAUGACAAAUGUUCCUUAGUAGUAGUACUCUGUAAUGCCUCUGUUCCUUCUUACUGGUUAAAGCUGACUUAUAGCUUACUGGUUACGGCUUAAACUCUUACAUAAUCGACAUAUACUUGCAGUAAGUGUUCUGAUCACCCAAAUGAACUUUGUGUGACUCACUCCUUUUAUACUAUGCUUGUGUUUCAAGUGUUUUGUUGUCUUAAGUGACGUUUGUGUUACUAUCCUCUGCUUUUUAAUUAUAAGAUGGACAGACACUCCAGGUGAGUACAGUACACAUGCCUCACUAACAGAGACGAUUCAUUCUGUUUAUUCAUGUUUGAUGUAACGUUGGUGCAGUGUGGGAGCUUUAGUGAUUGCACCAACACUAACCUUGCUAAUAAAGUUCAUG
ensembl:lncRNA